rnacentral:rRNA from 1 species
GGAAAGGCCGGCGAUACAGGGUGACAGCCCCGUACACUAAGGCACACAGGCUGUGAGCUCGAUGAGUAGGGCGGGACACGUGAUAUCCUGUCUGAAGAUGGGGGGACCAUCCUCCAAGGCUAAAUACUCCUGACUGACCGAUAGUGAACCAGUACCGUGAGGGAAAGGCGAAAAGAACCCCGGCGAGGGGAGUGAAACAGAACCUGAAACCGUGUACGUACAAGCAGUGGGAGCCUUCGUAAGAGGGUGACUGCGUACCUUUUGUAUAAUGGGUCAGCGACUUAUAUUCUGUAGCAAGGUUAACCGUAUAGGGGAGCCGAAGGGAAACCGAGUCUUAACCGGGCGUUAAGUUGCAGGGUAUAGACCCGAAACCCGGUGAUCUAGCCAUG